GCGAACGCUGGCGGCAGGCCUCACACAUGCAAGUCGAACGAACCUUUCGGGGUUAGUGGCGGACGGGUGAGUAACACGUGGGAACGUGCCUUUAGGUUCGGAAUAACUCAGGGAAACUUGUGCUAAUACCGAAUGUGCCCUUCGGGGGAAAGAUUAAUCGCCUUUAGAGCGGCCCGCGUCUGAUUAGCUAGUUGGUUGAGGUAAUGGCUCACCAAGGCGACGAUCAGUAGCUGGUCUGAGAGGAUGAUCAGCCACAUUGGGACUGAGACACGGCCCAAACUCCUACGGGAGGCAGCAGUGGGGAAUCUUGCGCAAUGGGCGAAAGCCUGACGCAGCCAUGCCGCGUGAAUGAUGAAGGUCUUAGGAUUGUAAAAUUCUUUCACCGGGGACGAUAAUGACGGUACCCGGAGAAGAAGCCCCGGCUAACUUCGUG
rnacentral:rRNA from 1 species